rnacentral:rRNA from 1 species
AGCAGCCGCGGUAAUUCCAGCUCCAAUAGCGUAUAUUAAAGUUGUUGCAGUUAAAAAGCUCGUAGUUGAAUUUCGGGGUUAGCAGGUCGGUCGUGCCAUUGGUAUGAACUGGUCUCGCUGAUCCCUCCCUCUUGACGAACUGUGAUGCCAUUAAUUUGGUGUCGCAGGGAAUCAGGACUGUUACUUUGAAAAAAUUAGAGUGUUUAAAGCAGGCUUUAGCUUGAAUACAUUAGCAUGGAAUAAUGAAAUAGGACGUUUGAUCCUAUUUUGUUGGUUUCUAGGAUUGACGUAAUGAUUAAUAGGGAUAGUUGGGGGCAUUAGUAUUCAAUUGUCAGAGGUGAAAUUCUUGGAUUUAUUGAAGACUAACUACUGCGAAAGCAUUUGCCAAGGAUGUUUUCAUUAAUCAAGAACGAAAGUUAGGGGAUCGAAGACGAUCAGAUACCGUCGUAGUCUUAACCAUAAACUAUGCCGACUAGGGAUCGGAUGAUGUUAAUUUUUUAAUGACUCAUUCGGCGCCUUACG